GUUAACACUUGACUAAUCUUCACUCUUUAUUAAUUGAGUCACCUGAAUUCAAGCAGGGAUUUCUCCUUUGACACACUAGUACAAAAACCAGGGAUCAUGAUGCCUGAAAAUGAAUUCAAUUACUGUACAGUAUGAAUAAGUCCAUGGCAGACUAUGUUACUAUGAAACCCAGAAUAUCCCCCCACUGCUCCACAGAGCACUUUUCUACCACAGACCACAAUACAUACAGGUAGCCGCAGGAGAUGUACUUAUUUAGUAUCCUCAUAUCAGCAUGCAUCGGGAAGAAGUGUUUA